UACGAAGGGGGCUAGCGUUGUUCGGAAUCACUGGGCGUAAAGCGCUCGUAGGCGGAUCUUUAAGUCAGAGGUGAAAUCCCAAGGCUCAACCUUGGAACUGCCUUUGAUACUGGGGAUCUCGAGUCCGGGAGAGGUGAGUGGAACUGCGAGUGUAGAGGUGAAAUUCGUAGAUAUUCGCAAGAACACCAGUGGCGAAGGCGGCUCACUGGACCGACACUGACGCUGAGGCGCGAAAGCGUGGGGAGCAAACAGG
rnacentral:rRNA from 1 species